AAGACCCCCUUCAGUCACAAAUCAUCUUGGGAUUGCACCUAGAAAGUUCCCCUCCAAGGCACAAGUUCAAGCAAGACUGUUUGUGGAAGACCAGCAGUCGCCCAUGCAUACCCUCUCCACACCAUUGAUGUUGUCCAAGAAAAAGGCAAAGGCUGAUACAGCUUGGCGCCAGUGACAUCACAACUCAUUUCUACAGCUGAGUGAACUGGAGCAAUGUGAAAUAAAGUGUCUUGCUCUAGAACACAACACACAGCCUGAUCCAGGAAUCAAACUAACAAUCUCACAAUUGUAAGCCCAAUACUCUAGCCACUGAGCCAUGCACCUUCUUUCAUAUAUACACACACAUAACUGAUAGAUGUAAUGAAUGCAGUAAUUAGUUUUGAUAGGAGAAAAUUUUGUGGGACAGUGUGUUAUGCACCAAAUAAAUCAACAAGUAAAAAACAUCAUUUCUUACUGAUUUUAUUUACCUGUCAUAAUUUGUCGUUAGGAAUAGUAUACAAAGAUUGUAGCACUCUGCUGUUUUACAGUGGUAAGAGGAUGUGAGUAACAAGGCUCACUCACUUUUGGUAAUAUUUAUGUCAGUUGUAGGUGUCAGGAAGGGAUAAGUGUGCUAGAAAGAAAAAGACAUGCAGCAUCUAAGAGUUAAAAUGAACUGUCUGAAAAUAUUUGAAGAGGGUUUGAAUUUAUACGUGUUUGAAAGCUGGAUGUUGGUCAGGAUAACAAAAGGUGUUUAUGUAUGUUGAAGUGAAUGUAACCUAAGAUGUUCAGGAAAACAAUAAGACUUAUCUAAGUUGAAUGUAGUAUGACAGUUGGCUCUCAUAAAAUUCCAAGUGCUAACGCUGAGAACAAUGGAGAGGAGAUUGCAAAAAAAAUCUAGACUAAGGUUUUAAUUCUUGGCUUAGAACCCAGGAAAUCGAUCCAUUUCAUGUCUUGCACUGAUGUAGUACUUUUUCAAUAAAAUCCUUUGUGAUGUUGUUCUGAACCUACUUACAGCUACUUUCUUGUAUCUCAUCAUGAAAAAAGGCAGUGAACCAGUGAUUAGGUCUUUGGAAUUUGUAACCAGUGGUUCACUGAAUGAAGAUAUCAUAAAUCAUAAUAAAAACAAUAAAAAGUCUUUUUCUAAGGCGUUAUAGUGGACCUGAAUACUGCAUACAACAAGCUCAUUAUUAUUAUCAAAAAAGCAGUGAGCUAGUAGAAUUGUUAGCAUGCCAGACAUUUCAUCUGUCUUUACGUUCUGAGUUCAAAUUCUGCUGGAGUCGACUUUGCCUUUCAUCCUUUUGGGGUCGAUAAAGCACCUUGAGCAAGUAUCCUUUGCUGUAGCCAUGGUCCAACCAAAGCUUUGAGUGGAUUUGGUAUAUGGAAACUGAAAGAAGCCCAUCAUGUAUAUGCAUGUAUGUGUGUCACUGUCAAUCAAACAGUGUCAUUCAUUUCCAAUAUUCUGCAGAAAACAUGGAGAAAUAUUACAUUGUUUGAAGACAAGUGAGGGUUGGGAACAAGAAGGGCAUGCAGCCGUAGAAAAUCUACCUCAAUAAACGUUCAACUCAUGCAAACAUGCAAAACAUUAAAACGAUGAUGAACUCUAUCGACUUUAAUACAGUGUCUGUAUUAAGGUCAAUACUUCAUCAAAACAAUCAAAUCAGAUUUUAGCAAGGAGAGGUCAUAGAAUGCCAAGAUAGUUCAGUUGUUGUGAAGAAUGUAAAAUCUAACAUUUCUGGCGGCUCUUGCCCUUCAGCAUAAAAUAAGGAUAGAGGUGUUGUUAACCUGGCUCUAGGCAAUGAACAAUGAGAGAAGAUGCAGUGAAGGGCCUCAUUAGUGUCCUCUCAGAUUAUGGAUGUUAACAGGUCUUAGACCGUUUAGGAUUUGUUUAAUAGCAUAGAUGACCAAAUCAAUAUGGUGCAACCCUGUAACAAGAGGUGAUGCAUUGGUUCUUUCAAAUAAAUUACAUCACUUACUGAAGAUUAAGAAUGGUGUAAGCAGUAGUAGAACUGUAAAAUUAAUGAGUGUUUUGUGAGCUUCUGUGCUAAGUUUGAUUUCACUUGAUAGUGCGGCUCCUAGAACAAUGGCUUCUGUGAAAUGAACUUCAAAAGCAAGAUAAUAUUCAGUAGAGCCACUACCAACCAAAGAAAGGAUAUUACAAAUCAGCACACUGCUUGUUUAUAUUUAUUGCAGUUUUAUGGCUGUUAUGAUAAAGACAUUUGAUUCAUGGGAAAUAAAGUUGAUGUUGUGAAUAGUGUUUUAGCAUUUGUGUAGUUAAAUCUUUUUCUCUAUUGAGAAAAGAUAAACUACUUUUGCCAUGUCCCUUAUACAUAUUUGUAUUUAUAUUUCAAUUCAAGUAUUUCAUUAAACUGAAUAUAUAUAUAUACAUAUACAUACAGUAAUCCCUCGCCAUAUUGCAGUUUAUUUAAGCUUAUGUUGAUUAAGCCCAUCCCCAUUAGCUUCCCCCUCUAUUUUCAUUUCUUUUUCUGUCUUAUGUCACCACAUAUCACAUUCUAAGGUCACUGGAACACUUUUGCUGGCUAGCAUAUGGUUUGUGGCAUUCUCGUACCACCCAUAUCACUAGUAUUAUUAUUCUUAUUUCUAUUUUCAUUUCAUCACCAUCUGUGGUAGUGUUUUGCAUUUAUAAUAAAAUAAAUAUAUACGAAUUAUAAAAAUAAAAAAAUAUCCAGUAUUGUUUCUACUUCGUGGAUUUUCACCUAUCGCAGGGUAGUUUGGAAUGUAACACCUGCGAUAGUCGAGGGAUUACUGUGUGUUUGUAUAUAUAUUGAUAGAAAAGGUAAGACAACAAAAGAAAGAAAGAGACCUCGAUAUUACCCAUGCUAGCAUGGAAAGCGGACGUUAAACAAUGAUGAUGAUGUUCCCGUACCAUCUCCAUUUGCAAUGCCAGUUUACAUGAAAAUUCUAAAUGAAAAAUCAUGUAAUAUUUUCAGUUUUAGAUAUUGGAGUAUAUAUACAUUUGUAACUAAUAAUUUGUUGUUGGCACUCCGUCGCUUACGACGUCGAGUAUUCCAGUUGAUCUGUGACAAGGCUGACCCUUUGAAUUACAGGCGCAACAGAAACAGGAAGUAAGAGUGAGAGAAGGUUGUGGUGAAAGAGUACAGCAGGGUUCGCCACCAUCCCCUGCCGGAGCCUCAUGGAGCUUUAGGUGUUUUCGCUCAAGAAACACUCACAACGCUCGGUCUGGGAAUCGAAACCUCGAGUCUGCUGCCCUAACCACUGGGCCAUUGCGCCUCCUGUAACUAAUAAUUAAAGAUGUGUUAAAGAAUUUUCUUUGUCUCCUUCUUUUCAUUGGCUUAUAUAUAUAUAUUUCUAGUAGAGUAUUUCCAGAGAAGCAUUCAACCCAAGUUCUCGGCUAUCAACAGUGUCCCUGUUUUUCUGUAGUCCCCUUUAUAGGGUUGAUAUAUCUAUAUUACUAGCUAAGUAUUAAUUUUCUUGUAACUAUACCAGUGCUUUUAAACAUUCUGAAAUUUUAAAUUUCAAAUUUAUUUUUUCUAUAGUUUCUCUAUUUUAUUUGUCUUCAAUUCACUUAAGCUAUAUUAGCUCAAAACUAACAUAUUUUAUGAAUUUCUUGACUACUUUUCAGUUAAAUUCUAAAUUCUAGGUUUCUGCUUUAACUCUUUAGAACACGCCCAUCCCCAUUAGCUUCCCCCUUUUUUUCAUUUCUUUUUCUGUCACCACAUAUCACAUUCUAAGGUCACUGGAACACUUUUGCUGGCUAGCAUGUGGUUUGUGGCAUUCUCAUACCACCCUUUUAACUAGUAUUAUUAUUCUUAUUUUUUUUUCAUUUCAUCACCAUCUUCUCACUAUAAGUACUCUGGCAAUCGUUGUUGUUAUUGUUAUCAAUUUCAUCUGUCUUUUGUCUGUUUAAUGCCACUAGUGGUAAACUGAAAUAAUUUUUCACCCAUCAAAUGAAAUUUGACACCAGUGACAAUGUAGUUCUGACCAACCAUUCUGAGAAUCUUUCGUCCAAAUACACUGAUUAACUAUAUAUUGUCUUUUCCUCAUUUCUUCAUAGCCUUAGCCUCCUCCCACUCUUCAUUCUUCUUCAUAUUCUUCCCCUUCAUCCUUCUUGCAUGAUCUCUACUAAUUAUUCACCCACUAACCAUACUUUUAUUUACUUUUUGUUUCCUCCUAGUAUAAACAAAAACAGAAUGUCUGGAAGAUGCAUGAUGGAUGAGCACAUCUUUUAUGCAAGUCUGAGGAAGUGCUACUCUAAUGUCUAAAGCCACAAAUAUUAUGUAAAUUUUCACUUCAAAUAUUGUGUAAACUGAUGUUACAAGCAGGGUUGGUACAGAAACAGUUGUAACUAAUCAUUAAAGAUGUGUUAAAGUAUUUCAUUGUUUUACUAUUUGGAUCACACACACACACACACACUUGCUCACUCGCUCACUCACUCACUCACUCACAGUGUCUCAUUAGUGGAAGGAGCUAGACUAAUCUUUGAACAAAGGGAAUUUAUAAAAGGUUACUGGGAGUGUUAUGGAAAUGAGAUGUAGGGAAUUCUUGCCAGGGCAGAAGGGGUUACAAACAUAAACAGAAUGCUUUGAGAAAAUCAUUUCUGUAGUGGUGGGUGAGCCUUCUCGAGCACAGCCAAUCAUUAAUCAUCUCAAUCAUUUGUCAUCUCCACAAGGCCCAACAUCUUCAGAUCAGCUUUCACUAUUUCAUCUCAUGUCUUCCUUGGCCCUCUUUCAGAAAUUCUCUUCAUUUUGAGCAGCCAGCAUGUUCCUCACUCUUGCACAUUACUAGAUUCAUUCCUCUCUAGUCUUUGCGUUGCCUCUGUAUUCAGUGCCCAUAUUUUUACUGCCAUGCGGUAUUGCUGCUCAUACACUGGCAUUAUACAAUCUACCUUUCAUUUGGAAACUUUUUGUUGCCAACAGAGGUUAUAGCUCUCUGAGUUUCCUCCAUCUUAUUCUAUAAACAAUACUUUCAGAGCAUCCUCCUCCACUGCUAAUUAGGUCACCUAGAUAACAAUCUGUCUACUACCUCCAGGGAGCCUCCUAUGCAUUCAAGAAAAUCUACUUCCUUCAUCUCUUUGAUAUUCAUUGUUCCUGUGCACUUUCCACAUACAAAGACUAUCUUCUCCAUUAGCCUGCUUGUGUGUCCAUAGUUUGCAUUGCACUUGGUAUACCUUAUGAAUUUCCACUUACAUCUUUGCUACAUAUCAAGCAGGGUCAUUUACCUGAAGUGGGGAGAGUCCUGUCUGUUUUCCUACUUACUAGAACUUUGAUUCUAGGUUUUGCUUCCCCACUUGGAAUUUCUUUUCUAAUUCUAUUAUAGAUUCCACUAUGAGAAUGAGGUUGUCAGCAUCUAGUAGUUCCUAGGGGCAACCAGUCUUAAACUCUUCUGUUAUGAGCUGGAGGACAAUGAUGAAUAAGACAUAGGUUGAGAACCAAUCCCUGGUGAACUCUUACUUGGAUUCUGAAUUCAUCACUAAACUCAUGACUUGUAUGACUUUCACAAUGUCUACUCCUAACAUCCUCAGAGACCACCAGAUCAUAGAAUAAGGGAUUCUGUCAAAGGCUUUCUCCAAGUCAACAAAUGCCGAGUACAAUGGUUUAAUCUUAGCUAAAUGCUUUUCCUGUUGUCUUACUAAGAAAAUGCGUCUGUAGUGCUUUUCCUUGACACAAAACCAAACUGCAUCUCAUCUAGUCUAAUUCUAUUCCUAAUUAACUGGGCUAUAACUCUCUCCAUUACUUUCAUGACCUGAUCCAGUAGUUUAAUAUGUUUGAAGUUACUUUUAGCUUUGUAACAGCUGACUAUAAUGCUGUUAAACCAAUCAUUGAGUAUAACAUACAAGUGACUAGACUGUAACCUACUUUGCUAGAUAUUUUCUGUGGUAAUUCCUGGUGAACCAGGGGCUUUCUCUGUCUUUAUAUCCUUAAUUGCUGUAUCUAUCAUGCUGCUGGUCCCUGUGCUGGAUCAACAUUUGGAAGACUCUUUCUCCCAUGGACUUUCCACAUUUAAUAGCCUUUCACAGUAACACUUUGAUGCCUCUCUCUUUUCAGAAUCACUAAAUGUAAGCAUGUCUUUAUCCAUCCAUACACACUUCUCUUCCACUAUAUCUUAAUUCUCUAUUAUAUACUAUCUUGCAAUUUGGACUAUCUCACAUAAGAUAUUGACAAAUCUCUUACUUUCUGCUUGUGCCCUUGCUAAAUAAACCAGUCACCUAGCUUCCCUUCAAGCUACCUCCAUAUUUCCACUCUUUUCAAACCUGUCUCUUCUCUUUUAUUGCUCUGUCUACCUCACUGUUCCACCAUGUCACUCAUAAUAGAUUGUCUUUUUAGAACUUCCAGUUGUCCUCACUGUUUUAUGUCUGUGCUUCCUCCUCUUUUUCAUCAAAUGCUCCAAUUAGAACAUCUCUAAAUCUUUGAUUGUUCAAGGAAUCCUUAAGCUUCCAUUUCCCCCUUUUCUAAAUUGGCUUGCCUAUCUGAGUCCUCACCCUAAACCUAAAAUCACUAACAUUUUGAGUUGUGCAUUUUUCACCAGAUGACUUCAUAUUUACAAGUAUCUGCCUCUCUCUAUUUCUGGUGAUAGGAAAUUAAGUGGCUGGCUGGCCAGUCCCCUGAAGUUGCAGAUCAGUAAAUCAUUUGCAUUACUGAACUUGAACAGCCUGGUUCCCUAUUCAUUUCUAACUACAAAGCUGUAUCCUCCAUGCACACCAUGAAAUUCAUUGGCGUGUUGGCUAACAUGUCCACUGAAGUCACCAACCACAAUAAUAAAGUCAUUGUCUUGCAUCAAGGUAAUCUGUAAAAGGAAGUCAUAGGCUUUCUGUUCAUCUACCAGCUCAACAUAUGGGGCAUGUGCAGAUAGUAUUAGCUUAACAAGCUUAUCACACACACUGACUACUUUGAUCACUUUAUCAACCCAUUUCCCUGCUAAAAGUAUACCUACACCCAGAAGAAUUUGCAUCUGUUCCUUGCUAUGAACAGUCUAGCUGAGGCUCCCCUCCAUUAUAUCCUUUGUACAUCACACAUCUACAUGCCUCUGCUCUAGCAUUUCAAUAAUCUUACCAGAUUUACCUUUUGUUUCACCAACAUUGAUUGUUGCUGCUCUAAGAGUGAACAGGUCAGUUGCAGACUGCCUUCAGCAUUUGGAAAAAAUGCUUUUUGCAAGCACUUGACUGGUGGCCAUUGUUCUUUGUACAUGUCAGUGGAACAUGGAUUUGCUACUUCAUGAAUUGACAUUUCUUUCAGUCCCACAAAGUCUUCAUGGAUAAGCAGCUGAAUGCAAGGAGGUGGAGCAUGGAAAUUUGUUUUAACUAUCAGACAGUUAAAAAUUCCCAUGCCCUAUCUAUAUUAUUAGUAGUAACAGUCAUAGUAAUGAUAAAUAGCUUUAAUUUCUGUCAGUUAUCAUGUAGCCCAUGAUUUUUUAAAAUAUAUUUUUGAAGAGGCAUGCUUUUCAAUCAAUUUCCCUUCCUUCUGCCCAUCACCACUGCACGUUUGCAUGUGCACUUGUAUUGGUAUAUCUUUAUAAAGGUAAUACAUAGAUGACUACAUAGUGAUCUGUGCAGUUUUAUAUAUGGGUAUAUAUUGUAUGUUUCCCUCAUGAAGGUGUGUAGCUUAGUGGUUAAGGCAUUCAGCUUAUUAUCGAAAGGUUGUGAGUUCAAUUCCUGGCAACGUGGUGUGUCCUUGAGCAAGAUACUUUAUUUCACGUUGCUCCAGCUCACUCGGCUGGCAAAAAUUAGUACCAGUAUUUCAAAGGGCCAGCCUUGUCACACUGAAUCUCCCUGAGAACUAUGUUAAGGGUGCAUGUGUCUGUAGAGUGCUCACCCACUUACACAUUAAUUUCAUGAGCAAGCUGUUCCAUUGGUAGUAUCAGCUGAGACCCUCGUCGUCAUAACCGAUGGAGUGCUCCUAUUUAUUUAUGUUUCCCUCACACUCCACCAGCUCUGAUCAACCAUUACUCCAAAUUGCUCUCCAGAUCCACACAUGACCACUGUCAGGAAAUACAGCAAAUCUGGACUCAUCAGAGAAUAUGACAGUGUCCCAAAAUGCUAGUGGCCUCUCCACCAUCUCACUGGCCCCAUCUUUUCUCUGCUUGAUGUUGGCUGGUCAAAGAAGUGGCUUCCUUCUUGCUGCUCUACUAUAGUAACCAAGUUUGUGGAGAUACCUGACAGCUGUUCUGGGACUGACAUCAACUUGUUCUGCUCUCUCAGAAGUCUUGCAAUGAGGAUUAUCCUCCACACUUCUCUUAACAAAGAGAAGGGUCCUGUCAGAGGGCCCUGGUUGAUCUGGCCUCCUUCCACUCUCUGGUGAAUUGCACAAUCACUCUGUUAACUGCAGAAAGUGGGAUCCAAAAGUUUUCUGUGAUUUUAUGCUAUGUCCACCUUCAGAAUGACCCACAAUAUGGCUUCUUUGAAAUUCAGACAGUUCCCAGGCUUCUUUUGUACAUGGCAUGAUUAAACAGUCACAUAGAGAACUUAAAACAUAAAAAUGUCGAUUAAUAAAAAAUAUAAACCUUUACAAGUUAGGAUAGACAUAAAAUAAUGUUUUAUGGGGUGCCUAUUAACUUCUGUCAUGUCUGUGUAUAUAUACACACACACACACACACACACACACACACACACACAGAGGCAUAGGCAUGAUGUAUGCUUAAGAAGCUCACUUAACAACUACAGGGUUUCAGGUUCAAACCCACUUGCGGAAGUGUCUUCUACUAAAGCCCAGGACCAACCAAUACCAUGUGAGUGAAUUUGUUGAACAGAGAAACUGUGUAGAAGCCCAUUGUGUGUGUGUGUAUAUAUGUAUGUAUGUGUGUAUAUAAUCAUCAUCAUCCUUUAAUGUCCGCUUUCCAUGCUAUAUAUGUGUAUGUAUAUCUGUGUUUGCAUUUGUCCUCUCCACCACUUGACAACUGGUGCUGGUUUGUUUAUGUCCACAAAAUUUAUUCUAUCAGUUUCUUUUGCUGAAGGGCUAAGUACCAGGGUCAAUUUUUUCAUUGCAACCCUCAGGCUGGAACUUUUUAUAUAUGUGUAUCCUAUGUAUAUAUAUGUGUGCAUAUUAUAUAUACGUAUAUAUUAUUGUGGAAAUAUAUGUAUGUAUAUCUUUCAUUGUUUUUAAUGUCCUUUUUUCCAUAUUUGCAUGGGUCAUCCAAAGUUUGAUUUUCUACAGCCAGAUGUCCUUCCUGUCAGCAACUCUCACCUGUUUCCAAGUAAGGUAAUAUUUCCCUAUCACAAAACGUUUUUGAAGAUUAUCUAUAUAUAUAUAUAAAAUUGAGAAUGUAUGUCUGUGUCUGUGUGAAUCCCUAAAACUCCAGAACUACACGACCAAUUUCAUUCAAAUUUUAUGCAUGCCUUACUUAGGGUCCUGGUUGUGUUUUAGUAAAAAAAAAAUUCAAACUUCUUGCAUACUUCCAGCCCACAGCAACAUCAUAUCUCCUCCACUAUUUAAGUAUUACGUGUCAAAAGUGAAACAAAAACACUCAUGUCAUUUGAACCGGAAUCUCAAUAACAUUGUUAUUAUUAAAUUUAUGCAUUUCUAAUCAAUUUGGAGGUAUUUGCUAUCGAGUUGGAGAUUUUUAACAAUGCAUUUGGUGAUUAUUUGCUUUAUUUCGCAGGCAAAAUUCACAACUUAGAAUAAAAGAAUAAAAUUAUUAUUUCAUUCAAAAAUUGAUGAGCUUUGUUUUUAGUGAUGACUUGAAAUGGUAAAUAUUUUUUCUAACUGUAUUUGCUUGAAAAAACAUACUUUUCUUUAUAUUAAG